rnacentral:pre_miRNA from 1 species
UCCUGUUCCCUGAGACCUCAAGUGUGAAAAUAUCUGAUAUCUCACACCUGGGCUCUCCGGGUACCAGG